rnacentral:rRNA from 1 species
GACGUAGGAGGCGAGCGUUGUCCGGAUUUAUUGGGCGUAAAGAGCGUGUAGGCGGCUUGGUAGGUCUCGCGCAAAACCUGAGGCUCAACCUCAGUUCGCGUGGGAAACCACCUAGCUAGAGUCCGGAAGAGGAGAACGGAAUUCCCAGUGUAGCGGUGAAAUGCGCAGAUAUUGGGAAGAACACCAGUGGCGAAGGCGGUUCUCUGGGACGGUACUGGACGCUG